rnacentral:rRNA from 1 species
GAUGAACGCUAGCGGGAGGCCUCACACAUGCAAGCCGAGCGGUAUUUCUUCUUCGGGAGAGAGAGAGCGGCGUACGGGUGCGGAACACGUGUGCAACCUGCCUUUAUCUAGAGGAUAGCCUUUCGAACGGAAGAUUAAUACUCUAUAAUAUAUUAAUUGGCAUCAAUUGAUAUUGAAAACUCCGGUGGAUAGAGAUGGGCACGCGCAAGAUUAGCUAGUUGGUGAGGUAACGGCUCACCAAGGCAAUGAUCUUUAGGGGGCCUGAGAGGGUGGUCCCCCACAUUGGUACUGGGACACGUACCAGACUCCUACGGGAGGCAGGAGUGAGGAAUAUUGGUCAAUGGGCGUAAGCCUGAACCAGCCAUGCCGCGUGCAGGAAGACGGUCCUAUGGAUUGUAAACUGCUUUUAUACAGGAAGAAACCCUCCCACGUGUGGGAGAUUGACGGUACUGUAGGAAUAAGGAUCGGCUAACUUCGUGCCAGCAGCCGCCGUAAUAC